GCCGGACUCGUCUGACGGGCCACGCCGAGGUGCUGAUUUGUUCCUGAAUGUUCCUCUCAGUCUUCAUUCCUCCUCCGAAACCACAGGCAGCUCCUCUCACAGGCCAGAGGGCUGAGGAGCGCGUGCUCGCGGCGCGUGGCCGGUGUUCAUACUUCAGCCUGGCACUCACUCAAACCCACGUAUAGAUACGCUCAGUCUGGAUUAAUCCCAGCGUGGGAGAGGAUUAUUAUUUUAUGGUGAGAGUUUCUGUCUGAUUGAGGACAAUGCGGGGCUGAAGGUGAAGACUGUUUAUGUGAAGAAGAGCUGGAAGAAUUCGUCAUCAAAAUGGAUGAGGAUAAAGGGGUGGACUUCCAGUCCCUGAAGGCUAGGUUCCAGAAUGAUGAAACUUUGAAGAUCCGAGUCAAACCUGCCAUCCCAGAAAAACCCAAAGCUCUCACCUCUCCAACCUUUCCCACCUCGCCCACCACCAAAAUAAGCAAUCCUCUGGUUACCAGCAUCAUGGAGAACCGCAUGUCCUUUACUCCUCGAGUGGUCUUCAAAGAUGACAAAAAGAGCCCCGGCAAGCGGCCGGUAUCAAUGCCCGAACCUUUACCAUUAAACAUGAAUCCUGAAUUGGUGGACAAGAAGCAAAAAAAGGAAGGGGAUCUUAUCAAACAAGCAUUGAAAGAUAAGAAUCUUCCCCUGGUUUUGCCUGUAAAUCCUGUUAUUCCAGUCAUUGAAGAGACCCCCAAACCUGAUCCUAUCUCAGCCUCUUCAGCUGUGGCAUCUCCAAGCAAAGUUUCCACACCUAAAAAGAAGAUUUUUUUCAACUUUUCAAAAUCGCCCAAAGCUGAGAAAGAAAAGAGAGACAUUGCAGAAAGUACAGUUCCAGUGAACCCUGCACUUGAUCAUCUUGCUCCCAGCAGCUCCACUCCAGUCAACUCAACUCCUAUAGUUAAUAAGCCUGUGUCUUACAAGGCUCUCGUUCCCCCAAGUCAAGCAGAAGUUGUUCCAGCAUCCAGUAGUCCAAUCAUCCCUGUUAUUCCUGCUCCAGUUAUUUCUAAUCCUGCCAUUCCUGAGCCAGAGGUUCCUGAAGUGCGGACAGUUCCAGAAAUGGACAUUGUGUCCCAGGUUUGUUCUGAACCAGACAUCUUAAAGCCAAAAAGUCCUAUUCCAGUUGCAGUGCCAGAUGUAUCUUUGCCUGAGAACAUGACGACAGAAAUGCCAGAUUCUACAGAGAUGCCAGAUAUUCUUGAUAUGGAUAUUCCUCCUCCAAUUAUUCCUGAAGACAUUCCAGAUGCAGAUAUUUAUUCCCUAGAUAUACCUGUCCCAGUUACUCCUGAUCUUUUUAUCACUGCACUUUCUACUUCAUCUACUCCACCUUCCAGCAGUCCCAAUCUCUCCCGCACAGCCUCCCCUGCCCCAGUCAGAUCUGCAUCAGUCACACCUGAGCCAGCUAACCUGGUUCUGCCAACGCUAACCCCAAAUCCAGAUGCAGCUUCUAGCCCAAGAACUUCUCCAAUAUUGUCAUCUGCAGCUACAGACGUAAAGCCGGUGACAGAAAACGGCACUGCUGAAUCUCAUGAAGGGAUGGACCAGACAGAGAAGACACCAGAGCUUCUGUCAUCCACUUCAUCCACACCCAUUUCAGCCUUGUCUGUUUUAGCAAGAGCUGAGGAGAUGGCCCCCGUCAAACACACCAUUUGUGAUCAGAGAGUGCUGAAUCUUCUAGAAAAGGCUAAGAGAAAGCAUAAUGUGAGCCACCAGACACCCACACCUACUACACCUGAAUCUCCAGGAAUGGUCUUACCUGACACAACCUCUCCAGCAUUGGCUCCAGUUGAGUCUUCAACACCGAAGAAUUUACAUCCUGAAGCCACCCAAGCUGAACCAGCCCCAGCAGUGGAAGCUGCACAGGUCCGACAAUCUCUUGUUGUGGAUCUUCCUGAUAUCCCUCCAGUUGACUAUGAGGAUCAGUCGGGGGAUAGAGCUUCAGUCAGGUCUAAUACCCCUAGCUCUGAAACAGCCCUGACUAACGGCCUAGAUCACAACCGUGCUUCACCCGCUCCUAAAGUGCUAACUGUGCACAAACCUGCUGCAGCGAAGGGUAAGCCUCCGCCACCUCCACCUAGAAAGACCCCCGUGACUGUACCCAAUGGAAGCAUCACACCAGAGAAGCCAGCGCGUGUCCUGAGCACAGAUCUACAGACCUCCACUCUGGCGGAUCAGCCAGUGGAGGAAAACGGGAUCAUUAUUCCGGCUCCAGUGGAUUUCACCUCAGAAAAUUCGUCAUUGGACGAUUCAGAAUUUGAUGAUUCAUCUGAACCAGUUGCUCUCGAGGAUCCACAACAAGCUGAACUUCCAGAACAUGAAAGUUUUGCAUUUUCAGUUCAUGAACAAGCCUUUUUGGAACAGUUAUAUCCAGAAUAUCAGACAAAUUCAGAGGAGUUUGUUCCAAGUGUGGAGACCACAGAAACCGAUUCUGCUCCAAAAGCAACAGGAACUCCAGAUUCAGUCCCAGACUCUCCUGUCAGUCCAUCUCCAUCAGGGACCCUGGAGAUGAAUGACAACGGUGACAAUAACAUCUAUGAAGACCUAGCAGCCAACAAGAGACAAAAAUCCACUAAGAAACCACGCAAAAUAGUUCCCAUGAAUCCAUAUGCUGAUUCUGUUAAUGUGAAUGAAGACUCCUCAAGAAAAACCUUGUUUGCCAGGUCUGUUUUAAUAGUUUACCUAACUCUCGUUUCUCUUUAUUUACUGAUUGUGUUUUCUAUUUGUGUGCUGGAUCUGUACGCUUAUGUCACAGUAUAUAAUAUCUGUUCCUGCUUUUAUAGAAAGAAUGCAAGCCCGGAUGUGAAAGAACUGAAGAAGAAGGAGAAACAGAAAGAGAAAGAGAAGGAGAAGGAAAAAGAAAAGAAGGAGCAAAAAGAGAAAGAACGAGAGAAGAAGGAAAAAGAAAAGAAGGAGAAAGAAAAGAAGGAAAAAGAAAAAGAGAAGAAGGAGCAAAAAGAAAAGAAGGAGCAGAAAGAUAAGGGAAAAGAAAAAGAAAAGGAGCAAAAAGAAAAGGAGCUGGAAGAGAAGCAAAAAGAGAAGAAGGAGCUAAAAGAGAAGGAAAAAGAAAAGAAGGAGCAUAAAGAGAAGGACAAGGACAAGAGUGAGCAGAAAGAAAAAGAGCACAAAGACAAAGAAAAAGAAAAGAAGGAACAGAGAGAGAGGGAAAGAGAGAAGAAGGAACAAAAAGAGAAAGAGAAGAAGGAAGCUGAACUAAAGAAAAAAUUCAAGGUAAGUAGCAAAUUCUCACACAAAACGAUGUGUUAAUAAGGAAAUAAUAGCGUUGUUGUGCAUGCU
ensembl:lncRNA